rnacentral:lncRNA from 1 species
UCCGAAGGGGCUCCUAUAGACCAAGCGCAAUAUCUUGGUCAGACAUUAUUACCUGACUGGUCAGCCAUUGUUACCUGGCCAAUUUAUAUUAUAUAGUGCCAAUGUUACCACUAUUUCAAGUCACAUCAUACAGUAUCAUUGUUACCACAUUUCAAGUCACAUCAUACAAUGUCCUUGCUACCACUAUUUCAAGUUACAUCAUACAAUCUUAUUGUUACCACUAUUUCAAGUUACAUCAUACAGUGUCAUUGUUAUCACUGUUUCAAAUUUCUACUCAGUCCAGAAAUUAAUAUAAGCCCCUUGGGCAUUUAUAAAAUAGUAGUCAUCAG